AGCGUGAGACGUUCGCUGUGGUAGAGCCCUGAGUCCUGUGAUGGUCGCCCUUAAAGUCAGCCUGUGGAAAAGGAGUUCGUGCGCCUGGUAUUCCUAGCUUCCAUCCCCGCGCACUGCCGAUCGGUGCUUAGGAGGGAGGCGACUUCCACAUCAGUGGCCCUGUGCUGAGAUUUGAGAAGGCGGCCACGUGGAGAAGGAAUUUGGAUUAUCACGAAAUGUUGAAGAUCACCUUCGUAUUGACCUAUAGUCAUGACAUGCUAACUAGAUCUAGAGAAAAGGAAGUGCAUAAGUAGAGGAGAGAGAAGAUGAUGACCUUGAAGUGGCCUCACAGCAGAGACUUAAAGGAUGCAGAGUAACAUGCAAUAAUCUAAGACCCCAUGGAAAUGGAUAUAUUGCAGUAUGGUUGGAUGCCAUUGGUCAGAAACAAAUAAAAUGUGAAUGUGUCAUCACAUGACCAUGAAAA